rnacentral:rRNA from 1 species
UACAGAGGUGCCGAGCGUUAGGCGGAAUCACUGGGCUUAAAGCGUGUGUAGGCGGACGUCUAAGUACCUUGUGAAAUCCCACGGCUCACCCGUGGAACUGCUGGGUAUACUGGGCGUCUUGAGCCACCUAGGGGCCAGCGGAACAAAUGGUGGAGCGGUGAAAUGCGUAGAUAUCAUUUGGAACGCCAACGGUGAAAACAGCUGGCUGGGGGUGUGCUGACGCUGAGACGCGAAAGCGUGGGGAGCGAACAGG